UUGAACGCUGGCGGCAUGCUUUACCCAUGCAAGUCGCACGGUAACAGGCCUUCGGGUGCUGACGAGUGGCGAACGGGUGAGUAAUGCAUCGGAACGUGCCCAGAGGUGGGGGAUAACGCAGCGAAAGCUGUGCUAAUACCGCAUGUGAUCUGAGGAUGAAAGCGGGGGACCAGGCAGCAAUGUUUGGCCUCGCGCCUUUGGAGCGGCCGAUGUCAGAUUAGGUAGUUGGUGGGGUAAAGGCCUACCAAGCCGACGAUCUGUAGCUGGUCUGAGAGGACGACCAGCCACACUGGGACUGAGACACGGCCCAGACUCCUACGGGAGGCAGCAGUGGGGAAUUUUGGACAAUGGGCGCAAGCCUGAUCCAGCAAUGCCGCGUGCGGGAAGAAGGCCUUCGGGUUGUAAACCGCUUUUGUACGGAACGAAAAGGCUCUGGCUAAUACCUGGGGCUGAUGACGGUACCGUAAGAAUAAGCACCGGCUAACUACGUG
rnacentral:rRNA from 1 species